rnacentral:rRNA from 1 species
AACGAACGUUAGCGGCGCGCCUAACACAUGCAAGUCGAGCGAGAAAGGGCUUCGGCCCCGGUAAAGCGGCGCACGGGUGAGUAACACGUGGAUAACCUACCCCUUGGUGGUGGAUAACCUUCCGAAAGGAGGGCUAAUACAGCGUAAGACCACGACUUCGAAAGAGGUUGAGGUAAAAGUGGGCCUCUGUACACAAGCUCACGCCAGGGGAUGGGGUCCGCGGCCCAUCAGCUAGUUGGUAGGGUAACGGCCUACCAAGGCGAAGACGGGUAGCUGGUCUGAGAGGAUGAUCAGCCACACUGGAACUGAGACACGGUCCAGACUCCUACGGGAGCAGCAGUGGGGAAUCUUGCGCAAUGGACGAAAGUCUGACGCAGCGACGCCGCGUGAGUGAUGAAGGCCUUCGGG